GAUGAACGCUGGCGGCGUGCCUAAUACAUGCAAGUCGAGCGAACAGACGAGGAGCUUGCUUCUCUGACGUUAGCGGCGGACGGGUGAGUAACACGUGGAUAACCUACCUAUAAGACUGGGAUAACUUCGGGAAACCGGAGCUAAUACCGGAUAAUAUAUUGAACCGCAUGGUUCAAUAGUGAAAGACGGUUUUGCUGUCACUUAUAGAUGGAUCCGCGCCGCAUUAGCUAGUUGGUAAAGUAACGGCUUACCAAGGCAACGAUGCGUAGCCGACCUGAGAGGGUGAUCGGCCACACUGGAACUGAGACACGGUCCAGACUCCUACGGGAGGCAGCAGUAGGGAAUCUUCCGCAAUGGGCGAAAGCCUGGCGGAGCAACGCCGCGUGAGUGAUGAAGGUCUUCGGAUCGUAAAACUCUGUUAUUAGGGAAGAACAAAUGUGUAAGUAACUAUGCACGUCUUGACGGUACCUAAUCAGAAAGCCACGGCUAACUACGUG
rnacentral:rRNA from 1 species